rfam:Schistocephalus solidus strain NST_G2 genome assembly, scaffold: SSLN_scaffold0004262
GGGCCCCUGGCUCAAUGGUAGAGCGUUCGAAUCAAUUUCCAAAGGUCGUGGGUUCGAAUUCCAGGUAGUCCA